GCCUGAGUGGCUCAGUCAGUUAAGCGUCUGACUUCGGCUCAGGUCAUGAUCUCACGGUUUGUGGGUUCGAGCCCCGCGCCGGGCU
rnacentral:tRNA from 1 species